AGCUUUGUGCAGUGGCAGUAUCGUAGCCAAUGAGGUUUAUCCGAGGCGCGAUUGUUGCUAAUAUUAGCUGUGUGACCCUGGGCAAUUUAUUUAACCUCUCCAACUUCUAUUUCCUUAUCUAUAAAAUAGUUUUUAAAAAGUCAUAAAGUUGUGGUAAAAAGUAAAUAAGGGAAUUCAUGUAAAAUACUUAUCAAA
rnacentral:snRNA from 1 species